CCGUGUUUUUCUUCUUCCUCCAGUUGCAUUGGUUCCGGCUUUACCGUUAGCGUGUGUGUCUUCUCCACUCCUGAAACUCGUUCACUCCCUUCCCUUUUGUUGUUCGUCAGUUUGCUUAAGUUCUAUAGCUGAAUCUCUCCUCUAUUUCUUCGUUCUUGCGUGCUGACAGAGCUACUUCACGCUCCUCUGUCUCUUUCUUUUCUCGGUGCUGGUGUGGUGUGCGUGGGUGACCAGGGAGUGGGGUGUACUGAAUCUUGUUCCUUCCAUCUUCCUCCAACGGGCUGGUGCUUAGGAAGGUGCUUAAAGGAGGUGUGAGCCCCGUGCGUAGGCCAACGCAUGUGAUGGAGGGAUGGAUAUUCGUGAGUAUCGUACUCAUGCUUGUUUCAUGAACUUCAUGCCUACACUUGUUUCAUGACUUCUGAACAUGCUUGAUUAUUUUGUGGCUUUAAGUCACGUUUGUUGGUUACUUACCCUCGUGAACUGUGUAUUCACGCUUGUUAAUCGUUUUGAUAAGGUUUCACUAAAAGUGAAAUUUUUGAAACUUAUUAUUGUUAAAUUUAUUUUAUUAAACAAACUUUUGUUUGAUCGUGCAUAAUUUUAUAUGGUAAAUUCCCUCCUAG